rnacentral:lncRNA from 1 species
CAGCCUCCGCCGAGGCCGGGGGCGCGGGGCAGCUGGGGCCACCGUGCCGCGCGAGGGGGAGGCGGAUCUGUUCCCUUCACGUCUUGGCCAGAUCCCCGAUCCCCGAUCGCCUUGGGCUGGGGACCGGCGGGAUUCUGGAGAGCAUCAGACGGGGUCCCAACCCCGCGACGGAGCAGAGCGGAAGACCGAGAGAAACACGGGAGGCGCUGGGGACCCGGACACCUGCCCUCCCCGCGUCUCUCCACCCUCUACUCCAUCCCUGGACAGCAACCGGAGACCGGGUCUCAAGGGGGAUCACCAAGAGACAGAACUGACCUGUCUGUUGGUGUCUGGAAAGCGCCACGACAGUGGGGAGAGGAUGUUGAAGAAAUUUCAGUGUGUCCCUGAGUGUGGGCUCCCCCUUGCCACCUGAAGUUAGCCAGACUGGCCACCUGCUACAGGGAAUGCUUUCAGACCACUGGAAAGAAGCCUAAGGCAUAGGAGCCCCAGAUGCAGGAUGGAAAGGUGAGUUUUAAGGUCACAGCAGGUGGCCCUGCAAUCCUAUUGUGGAGCUGGGAAUGGCAGGUCGGAACUCCCAGCAGCUG